GAUGAACGCUGGCGGCAGGCUUAAUACAUGCAAGUUGAACGGUAACAUGUUGUAGCAAUACGAUGAUGACGAGUGGCGCACGGGUGCGUAACACGUGUGUAACCUACCUUAUACAGGAACAUAACGUUGAGAAAUCGGCGCUAACAUUCCAUAAUAUUAUUUGUAGGCAUCUAUGAAUAAUUAAAACUCCGGUGGUAUAAGAUGGGCACGCGUUCCAUUAGCUAGUUGGUAAGGUAACGGCUUACCAAGGCAACGAUGGAUAGGGGUUCUGAGAGGAUAAUCCCCCACACUGGAACUGAGACACGGUCCAGACUCCUACGGGAGGCAGCAGUAAGGAAUAUUGGGCAAUGGAGGCAACUCUGACCCAGCCAUGCCGCGUGCAGGAAGACGGCCCUAUGGGUUGUAAACUGCUUUUCCCCGGGAAGAAUAACGCCCCCGCGGGGGGUGAUGCCGGUACCGGGGGAAUAAGGAUCGGCUAACUCCGUG
rnacentral:rRNA from 1 species